rnacentral:rRNA from 1 species
CAGUAGCCGCGGGAAUACGUAGGUGGCAAGCGUUGUCCGGAAUUACUGGGCGUAAAGGGCUCGCAGGCGGUUUCUUAAGUCUGAUGUGAAAGCCCCCGGCUCAACCGGGGAGGGUCAUUGGAAACUGGGAAACUUGAGUGCAGAAGAGGAGAGUGGAAUUCCACGUGUAGCGGUGAAAUGCGUAGAGAUGUGGAGGAACACCAGUGGCGAAGGCGACUCUCUGGUCUGUAACUGACGCUGAGGAGCGAAAGCGUGGGGAGCGAACAGGAUUAGAUACCCCUGUAGUCCCUGUCUCUUAUAC